UCCAGACUCCUACGGGAGGCAGCAGUGGGGAAUAUUGCACAAUGGGGGAAACCCUGAUGCAGCGACGCCGCGUGAGUGAAGAAGUAUUUCGGUAUGUAAAGCUCUAUCAGCAGGGAAGAAAAAAGACGGUACCUGACUAAGAAGCCCCGGCUAACUACGUGCCAGCAGCCGCGGUAAUACGUAGGGGGCAAGCGUUAUCCGGAUUUACUGGGUGUAAAGGGAGCGUAGACGGCAAUACAAGUCGGAAGUGAAAUACCCGGGCUUAACCUGGGAACUGCUUUGGAAACUGUAUGGCUGGAGUGCUGGAGAGGUAAGCGGAAUUCCUAGUGUAGCGGUGAAAUGCGUAGAUAUUAGGAGGAACACCAGUGGCGAAGGCGGCUUACUGGGCAGUAACUGACGUUGAGGCUCGAAGGCGUGGGGAGCAAACAGGAUUAGAUACCCCUGUAAG
rnacentral:rRNA from 1 species